GGGCCAGACUCCUACGGGAGGCAGCAGUGGGGAAUAUUGCACAAUGGGGGAAACCCUGAUGCAGCGACGCCGCGUGAGUGAAGAAGUAUUUCGGUAUGUAAAGCUCUAUCAGCAGGGAAGAAAAUGACGGUACCUGACUAAGAAGCCCCGGCUAACUACGUGCCAGCAGUCGCGGUAAUACGUAGGGGGCAAGCGUUAUCCGGAUUUACUGGGUGUAAAGGGAGCGUAGACGGCAUGGCAAGUCAGAUGUGAAAACCCGGGGCUCAACCCCGGGACUGCAUUUGAAACUGUCAGGCUGGAGUGCAGGAGAGGUAAGUGGAAUUCCUAGUGUAGCGGUGAAAUGCGUAGAUAUUAGGAGGAACACCAGUGGCGAAGGCGGCUUACUGGACUGUAACUGACGUUGAGGCUCGAAAGCGUGGGGAGCAAACAGGAUUAGAUCCCCGAGUA
rnacentral:rRNA from 1 species